GGCGAGGUAGCUCAGUGGCAGAGCAAGCGGCUCAUAAUCGCUCGGUCGUGGGUUCAAAUCCCACUCUCGCCA
rnacentral:tRNA from 1 species